rnacentral:rRNA from 1 species
AAUAUUGGACAAUGGGGGGAACCCUGAUCCAGCCAUGCCGCGUGUGUGAAGAAGGCCCUUUGGUUGUAAAGCACUUUAAGCGAGGAGGAGGCUACUUAGUUUAAUACUCUAGGAGAGUGGACGUUACCCGCAGAAUAAGCACCGGCUAACUCUGUUCCAGCAGCCGCGGUAAUACAGAGGGUGCAAGCGUUAAUCGGAUUUACUGGGCGUAAAGCGCGCGUAGGUGGACAAUUAAGUCAAAUGUGAAACCCCCGAGCUUAACUUGGAAAUUGAAUUCGAUACUGGUUGGCUAGGGUAUGGGAGAGGAUGGGAGAAUUCCAGGUGUAGCGGUGAAAUGCGUAGAGAUCUGGAGGAAUACCAAUGGCGAAGGCAGCCAUCUGGCCUAAUACUGACACUGAGGUGCGAAAGCAUGGGGAGCAAACA